rnacentral:rRNA from 1 species
UUUAUUGGAGAGUUUGAUCCUGGCUCAGGAUGAACGCUGGCGGCGUGCCUAAUACAUGCAAGUCGAGCGAAUGGAUUGAGAGC